CAGCAUCAUGGGAGAGCAUGAGCUUCUCACCGCUGUUGCAACCAUGAGCAAUGGAAGUUUGAAAGUUUCCUUCAGAAACAGAAAUUUGGUCAGAUCCCUGCUCAGCUCCCAGUGGGGUUUGUUGAGCAUUUGGGAGUGUCUGCCUAGGCGCUGGCGGACAGGGUCGCUAGCCCUGAAGUCACAGGAUCCCACCCCCCUUCAGGACGAAGGACACCAAGGAAGAGGUUUAGCAGGACAUUUAGCUGCACCCAGAAGUCUCCAGUUAUUGUCCUAAAUCUGUGAUCACCUGGAUUCCCGGAAAGGUGGAGCCCCACACUUGGCUGAUAACACCACAGGCAGAGACAGAUUUUCCUGGGAAUGGAACGAUCUCUCAGCCAUGAGGAUUCCAGAGCUAUGAGACCAGGGCUGAGGUACAGAUCAACUGGACCCUACCACCAGCGGAUCCUUGAAAGCUGGCCUCCCGCCUUUGCCAGUCUGGACCCCCAUACCAGUGUGCACCCCUCCAUCAACCUAAGCUGGAUCCUUCCCUAUCUUCCCUCAAAUAAAAAACUUUUUCCGUUAAAAAAAGUUCAUAAA